rnacentral:lncRNA from 1 species
UUGAUCAGUUUGGGCACCUUCACCUCAGAGCGGUGUUGGUCCCCUGAUCCUCGCUUUCAAUUCUUGUCUCUUUCUCAUUCUUUCUCUGUAUUGUGCUUUCGGGAAACCCUGGCUUGUUGAGCUGGACUCGACAAAGUGGCGGCCGAACAGGGAUCUGAAAGUGAAAUCAGCCUAUGAGGCUCAGCUCAGAGCAGUGGAGAACACAGGGAAAUCCAGCUGGUGCAGUGGACGAAUGAAGUACUUGGUAUGUACACCCCCGUGUAUGAACGAAUGAAGUACUUGUCUGGAGAAGAACAGCGAGAUGACAACAACAUCACCAACAAAAAUUAGCCUUUCUUACAAUUACUUCGCUUGCUGAAAAAAAAAGGGGGAGAUGUAGGAAGCAAGUACAAGAGAGAAAAAGCAGAUCCCAGGAAAGGCAUGCAAAAGCAUUAUCAAUCUUGCAGACAAGAUACCUCAAGACAUAUGACUCCUGGAUUAAGUCCAGAGGGAACAGAAAAACAUCUUGAAAGCAGGAUGUGUGCCUGGAGGUGGGAAGCCAUCAGACUGUUCCAUGACCUGGUGUCUCUGAGUCAAAUGUGUUUUGUAUCUGGAGCUUUGUUAUUUAGACAGCAACAUAGAUUGUUAGUUAAAAGUAAAUCUUUCUUAAUCUUCAUGUCACAUUCCUAGCCUAUGUGUAACAGCCAUAUGGCUCCAUAUGCUUCUGAGAGCACGUUCUCCCUUGCACGUACUCCCCUGCCUGAAAACAUCUAAUAAAGCUGACUUGAUCAGUUUGGGCACCUUCACCUCGGAGCGGUGUUGGUCCCCUGACCCUUGCUUUCAA